rnacentral:tRNA from 1 species
AAAAAAUUAGUUAAUAAAUAACAUUAGAAUGUCAUCCUAAAGUAAUUAAAUUUAAUUAAUAUUUUUUU